rnacentral:rRNA from 1 species
UACGGGGGGGGCAAGCGUUGUUCGGAAUUACUGGGCGUAAAGGGCUCGUAGGCGGCCAACUAAGUCGGAUGUGAAAUCCCCAGGCUUAACCUGGGAACUGCAUCCGAUACUGGAUGGCUUGAAUUCGGGAGAGGGAUGCAGAAUUCCAGGUGUAGCGGUGAAAUGCGUAGAUAUCAGGAGGAACACCGGUGGCGAAGGCGGAUCUCUGGACCAGUUCUGACACUGAUGAGCGAAAGCCAGGGGAGCAAACAGG